UGGGGAAUAUUGCACAAUGGGCGCAAGCCUGAUGCAGCAACGCCGCGUGAACGAUGAAGGUCUUCGGAUCGUAAAGUUCUGUUGCAGGGGAAGAUAAUGACGGUACCCUGUGAGGAAGCCCCGGCUAACUACGUGCCAGCAGCCGCGGUAAUACGUAGGGGGCUAGCGUUAUCCGGAUUUACUGGGCGUAAAGGGUGCGUAGGUGGGCUUUCAAGUCGGUGGUUAAAGGCUACGGCUCAACCGUAGUUAGCCUCCGAAACUGGAAGACUUGAGUGCAGGAGAGGAAAGUGGAAUUCCCAGUGUAGCGGUGAAAUGCGUAGAUAUUGGGAGGAACACCAGUAGCGAAGGCGGCUUUCUGGACUGCAACUGACACUGGGGCACGAAAGCGUGGGUAGCAAACAGG
rnacentral:rRNA from 1 species